rnacentral:rRNA from 1 species
UACGUAGGGUGCAAGCGUUAAUCGGAAUUACUGGGCGUAAAGCGUGCGCAGGCGGUUUUGUAAGUCUGACGUGAAAUCCCCGGGCUCAACCUGGGAAUUGCGUUGGAGACUGCAAGGCUAGAAUCUGGCAGAGGGGGGUAGAAUUCCACGUGUAGCAGUGAAAUGCGUAGAGAUGUGGAGGAACACCGAUGGCGAAGGCAGGUCUCUGGGCUGACACUGACGCUCAUGCACGAAAGCGUGGGGAGCAAACAGG